CGUAUAUUAAAGUUGUUGCAGUUAAAAAGCUCGUAGUUGGAUUUGUGGUGUGUGGUGUGUUCCGGGCACUUGUUGUCUGAGUAACNUGCUGCUGCCAUCCUUGGGUGGAACCUGUAUGGCAUUAGGUUGUCGUGCAGGGGAUGCCCAUCUUUUACUGUGAAAAAAUUAGAGUGUUCAAAGCAGGCUUAUGCUGUUGAAUAUAUUAGCAUGGAAUAAUGAGAUAGGACUUUUUCGCUAUUUUGUUGGUUUGCGCGAAGAGGUAAUGAUUAAUAGGGACAGUUGGGGG
rnacentral:rRNA from 1 species